rnacentral:rRNA from 1 species
GAUGAACGCUAGCGGGAGGCUUAACACAUGCAAGUCGAGGGGUAACAUUGGUGCUUGCACCAGAUGACGACCGGCGCACGGGUGAGUAACGCGUAUGCAACCUACCUUAUACAGGGGCAUAGCCUAUGGAAACGUGGAUUAAUUCCCCAUAGUACUAUACUAUAUCGCCUGAUAUAAAUAGUUAAAACUUCGGUGGUAUAAGAUGGGCAUGCGUAUGAUUAGCUAGAUGGUAAGGUAACGGCUUACCAUGGCGAUGAUCAUUAGGGGUUCUGAGAGGAUUAUCCCCCACACUGGUACUGAGACACGGACCAGACUCCUACGGGGGGCAGCAGUGAGGAAUAUUGGUCAAUGGACGCGAGUCUGAACCAGCCAUCCCGCGUGCGGGAUGACGGCCUUAUGGGUUGUAAACUGCUUUUCUACAGGAAGAAAUGUACUUACGUGUAAGUAUUUGCCGGUACUGUAGGAAUAAGCAUCGGCUAACUCCGUGCCAGCAGCCGCGGUAAUACGGAGGAUGCGAGCGUUAUCCGGAAUCAUUGGGUUUAAAGGGUACGUAGGUUGGACUUUAAGUCAGUGGUGAAAGUCUGUCGCUUAACGAUAGAAUUGCCAUUGAUACUGGAGAUCUUGAGUGUGGUUGAGGUAGGCGGAAUGUGCAGUGUAGCGGUGAAAUGCAUAGAUAUUGCACAGAACACCAAUUGCGAAGGCAGCUUACUAAACCAUUACUGACGCUGAUGUACGAAAGCGUGGGGAGCGAACAGGAUUAGAUACCCUGGUAGUCCACGCUGUAAACGAUGUUCACUCGCUGUUUGCGAUAUACAGUAAGCGGCUAAGCGAAAGCAUUAAGUGAACCACCUGGGGAGUACGAUCGCAAGGUUGAAACUCAAAGGAAUUGACGGGGGCCCGCACAAGCGGAGGAACAUGCGGUUUAAUUCGAUGAUACGCGAGGAACCUUACCUGGGCUUAAAUGUAGGUUGCAUUAUUUGGAGACAGAUAUUUCUACGGACUACCUACAAGGUGCUGCAUGGUUGUCGUCAGCUCGUGCCGUGAGGUGUCGGGUUAAGUCCCAUAACGAGCGCAACCCUUACCGUUAGUUACCAGCGAUUUUAGUCGGGGACUCUAGCGGGACUGCCACCGUAAGGUGAGAGGAAGGUGGGGAUGACGUCAAAUCAGCACGGCCCUUAUGUCCAGGGCUACACACGUGUUACAAUGGUCGGUACAAAGGGAUGCUACACAGCGAUGUGAUGCUAAUCUCGAAAGCCGGUCUCAGUUCGGAUUGGAGUCUGCAACCCGACUCCAUGGAGUUGGAUUCGCUAGUAAUCGCGCAUCAGCCAUGGCGCGGUGAAUACGUUCCCGGGCCU